GUUGUUGAUGCUGGACUGUGUGCGUGGACGCUCUUCAUCCAUGCACGCGAUCGUCUUCUUGAGUCCCUGCACGUUGAUUACAGGUGUGGAUCCCCAGCGCUUGUCUAAAGGGUCUCACGGAGAGCGGUUGGUGGGCCGUGCCUCAUCCAUCACACCAUGCGGGGCACACUCGCAGGUUAGUGGGCUUAAUCGGCUUUGACCUGCUGCUUCUUGCGGUUCCACUCCCUCUCCUUGAUGUACUGCUCCUUCCUCUUCUGCUGCUCAUUUCUGUUCCUCUGCCUGCUGCGCUCUUCUCUGGCCUUCUGCAUUGCUUCAAACUUUCCCGUCACGUCAUUCUUGUCUUUGUUCGUGUUGGGCACAUAGCUUCUGGCUACGGGUUUUCUGGUUUGGAGCAGUCUCUGUCAUUUAACAGUGAAAAGAUGAGAAGCUAGUAAGUGAUUGGUUAAUGUAAACGGUGAUAACUUCUCCAGCCGCCUCACCUCUUUUUUGAGCAUAACAUCAGAAAUAUUCUUCUCUUCCGUUGCGUCACAUGGCGCUUCCUCCUCAACAACCUUUGUGGUUUUCUUUCUUCUAUUCUUAUCGACACUAGUUUUCUCCUUCCCCUUGUGUUCCACGCCGUUCACGUGUGUCUCACCAGACUUUUUCUUCUGUGCGUCAGGUGCCUCCUUUGUCUUCUCAUCUGCAUUGCUCACAUGUUCCUUUUUACUUGGGACAUCUUCUGUUUUGACCCCUGCUUCAACCUGCGCCACCUCAGCCAUGUUUAAAUUAAAGUGGCAAGUUGGUUUUAAUUGGAGCUGCAUAACAAAAGGACAAAAAUGGAAGCUGGAGGCCCCAAAGAAAACCAGUGACAACAUACAACCACUGCUGUAACGUCAUAGCCCAGAUUUGAACCAUGAACCUCAGUGAGCUAAA